rnacentral:lncRNA from 1 species
CAUACCAUGCCAAGUAAUCCCUGGUCAUCUCACCAUGAAGUAAUUAUGACAAGUAUAGCAGUUUAUGUAUUAACAUCUGUUGAAGAAGUGAAGGAAAGUUCCUUGAGGUGGUCUGAAAGAGGCUGGCAUGGAUAAAAACAUACAGAGGAGACUCCUGGGUUAUGCACGGUCAUUGACAGAGUGAAUCGACUGGUCGGAGCUUGGCAGAGCCUUCCUGACAUUCAGCAUCCAUAACAUUUCUAAUGCUUCAGUGGCUAAAGAAGCCACAUUAAUAAAAACCAGAGGAAUCCUGAGAAUCA